CCCAAACCACCACCUGGGAUAUCCCGCAGGUCCUCAGGAGGCAUCCCUGCGGAGGGGAAACCAAAGGAAGAGGAGGCUUUGCCACCUCUCGCCCAGGGCAAGAAAGGUAAAGCAGCAUCCAGCGCCUUUCCAAAGCACAAGCCACCAACUUGAGAUGGGAAAUCCCUUGCUGAACAUCAGCCAAGGGCUCUGACUUACGUCAAAGCUUCACGCCAGCUCAGCACGGCCUCUUCCCACGAGGAAUUGUUGGCCUCUCCAAAACCAAGGCGCUGGCUGUGACGUGCCCCCAUCCCUGGCUAUGGCAGGAGCACCUCGGCACCUUAGGCCCCGCCCUCCCCCAACAAAAGGAUAUGGUCCCCAAAAGUCACCCUGUCAGCUCAUCGUCACCACCCAGCUCCGCUUUCCCAAAGCCACCGUCACUAAUGCACUCCCAAAAGAGAGUCCCAAGAUGGCAGAGAGGAGAAGUGGGGCCAGAGAUGGUUUCAGGGAGGGUCCGCGGGCGGCACAGAUGUCAGCAGUGGGGGGAGCAGAGCGGCCCUCUUGCAUGUUCUGGGAACAGGCCUGAGCGCCCCUGGUGAGUGAGCCAAAGGGUUGACGGUAAGUCUCCUCUGCCUUCCCAAUCCCAGUGAGAUUUGCUGGCAAGCCAACCUUCAUCAAACGCUUGAGCUCGGACAGUCUAGAUGGAGGAAAACUCCGAAGGAUAAGGAGCUUACUGCGCAAGGAGAGCUCUACGUCCAGUCUGCUGCCAGCCAUCCCUGGAGUGCCUGAAGAACAAAAGCAGCCGCUGACCUGCCAGCUGCAGGGCCAGGCAGAAACAGACAGCCAAGAAGACCUGGGCCGAGCCCCAGGAACCAAACACGUGAGCUUCCGUGAGGAAGAACAGGAAGCGGAAAAAGCCCAUCGUGUGGCUGCAGUGCUGAAGUUGCCCAAAGCCAAUGAAUCUUUCAGCAAAGAUUCCAGACCUUCCUCAAGGGCUCAGUCCAGCCCGUCACAGGCAUCGCAAGGCACUCCAUCCCGGCUUCCACUUCUGGCAUGUGACUCAGUCAGACUUCUCAGGCGCAGGGCUAAGAAGAGCAGGCAGAAAGAACCUGAGGAGAUGGAAGCAUCAACAUCUCAGGCUGAGGCCAGCCAGCCGCAGGAGUCCUCUGCUGACAGAGCUGGAUUUCUGCCACCGAUAAACGAAGAAACACAGUCUCCUCAGCGUCAGCCCCCGGACACCAAAGCCCCACCGCGCAGGAAGGGCACACCCUACCCACGCUGAUGCAGGCAUGGGGCGCCCACGAGCUCCAAGACCUCCACUCGAGCUGGCUGCAAAACAGAUGCGUGAAUCCCAUCUGCAUCAUAUCUAAUCCUAGACUAGGCUGCCGAGUGCCCAAUCCAACCUGGCCUUCAACACUGCCACGGACGCGGCGUCCACAAGCUCUCUGGGCAUCCGCUUCCAGCAUCUCACCACCGUCUCUGGAAAGACCUUCUCCCUGACAUCCAAUCUUCAUUGUCCCUCCCUCUGUCAAUAAAGCCUUACCGUGGGCCUAUCCCAUAGAAAUCUCCACAAUGCCUGUGGCAGUGUCAUUGCGUCUUUGGACGCCAGCUCUGGUGCUGGUGGAGGGAGAAAGAAUUGUGAGAGGGCAUCAGAACAUCUCACGAUGCUUUCCUUGAUGCCAAAGGAAAUCCAGCGUCUCGCUUGGCUCGGCUGUCUGAGCUUUUCUGCUGAAGGGGAAGACCAAAAAUGAAGUCAGCUUCAAAUUGGUGUGGCAGCUCAGAGCUCUCAGAGGAUACCAGGGAUCCUUGGGAG
ensembl:lncRNA